AACCGAAUUGCUUUGGUUUGGAACCCUGACAGGUAUGAACAUCCCAUACAUGGGAAAAUUUUUAUGUGCCCAAGGCAGCCAGAAUGAACGAUAAUAUUGUUCUUGUUAUGUAGUAUUGAUCAAUACAGGGUACAACGGGCUGAUCACCCCCGUGCCCGUAAGUUAUGACAGUUUACAAAUGAAGUUUUGUUUAACCUUUUCAAAAAUGAAAACAAUGUUCAUAGUAUAUCUCCUUAACCCUAUUUAUAGUCAGAACGUAGUUUCAAAAAUUUGAAAGAGGGUUGUUAUGUUAUCAUUAUCGGUUUAGAUUACUUCACAACUAUUGAUUUGUUGUAGAAGAGUAGUAUAAAG
rnacentral:lncRNA from 1 species